UACUAAAAUAGGACACAAGGAGCUUUUUCGAGUUUAUAGGAAACUGAAUAUGUUCAUGCAUGGCUAUCUUUUAUUAGCCAUAUCACCACUCUUCUUUAUCCUUCAAGAAAAUGUAAUUAUUUGGCCUAUAUCUUACAGUAUCUAAACAAUUUGAAGCUACUGUCUCUAUUGUAUGACUUUACAAACACUUGGUGAAAAAUAUAUAAGCCACUAAUGUCAGUCUCUUUACAUGCAGUGAAACAGACCUUCAACCUGGAGGAAUACAGCCUCUCUCAGGCUACCUUGGAGCAGGUAUUCUUAGAACUCUGUAAAGAGCAGGAGCUGGGAAAUGUUGAUGAUAAAAUUGAUACAACAGUUGAAUGGAAACUUCUCCCACAGGAAGACCCUUAAAAUGAAGAACCUCCUAACAUUCAAUUUUAGGUCCUACUACAUUGUUAGUUUCCAUAAUUCUACAAGAAUGUUUCCUUUUACU
rnacentral:lncRNA from 1 species